rnacentral:antisense_RNA from 14 species
AUUUAUGGCGGGCCGUGUGAGGCAGGCUUUUGCCUGGCCGGCCUUCCUUCGUGGGUCGGUCUACCACCCUUGCACGGUCCGCCUCCAU